rnacentral:rRNA from 1 species
AACGUAGGUUCCGAGCGUUAUCCGGAUUUCCUGGGCGUAAAGCGCGUUCAGGCGGUUUGGCAAGUCGGGCAUGAAAUCCUUCGGCUCAACCGGGGGAGGUUGUCCGAUACUGCUAAACUGGAGGGCAGUAGAGGGUGGUGGAAUUCCGGGUGUAGUGGUGAAAUGCGUAGAGAUCCGGAGGAACACCAGUGGCGAAAGCGGCCACCUGGACUGUACCUGACGCUAAAACGCGAAAGCUAGGGGAGCGAACGGG